rnacentral:tRNA from 1 species
GAUCCGCGACACGCAGGGCAAGCGCGCGCUGGCCGGCUUCGGCUCGGCCAAGGGCAGCAAUGAAGAGGCCUACCUGUUCCAGAAGCUGGUGCGCACCG